GACGAACGCUGGCGGCGUGCUUAACACAUGCAAGUCGAACGGUAGGGCCCCUCGGGGUACACGAGUGGCGAACGGGUGAAUAACACGUGGGUGAUCUGCCCUGCACUUCGUGAUAAGCCUGGGAAACUGGGUCUAAUACCGGAUAGGACCACUGCAGGCCUGGGUAGUGGACAGCGUUUGCGGUGUGGGAUGGGCCCGCGGCCGAUCAGCUUGUUGGUGGGGUGAUGGCCUACGAAGGAGACGACGGGUAGCCGGCCUGAGGGGGUGACCGGGCACACGGGGACUGGGAUACGGCCCAGACUACUACGGGAGGCAGCAGUGGGGAAUAUUGCACAAUGGGCGCAAGCCUGAUGCAGCGACGCCGCGUGAGGGAUGACGGCCUUCGGGUUGUAAACCUCUUUCAGCACCGACGAAGCGCAAGUGACGGUAGGUGCAGAAGAAGGACCGGCCAACUACGUGCCAGCAGCAGCCGCAG
rnacentral:rRNA from 1 species